CCCCUUCCUUACCCUAGGAAUGAACACUGCGUCACUUCCUGCCUGCUGUCCUCCACAAGCAGUGGCGUGUCCUUCCAGGAUCUUGCUUCAGCCGCGUAAGCUCCCACAUCCAUUAAACCAUCAGUGUCUCUGAUUGCUGACUCCCAGCUCUUUCACAGGCCUCAUAGUUCUGAGGGGUGCAGCCCCACCACUGGCUGAGCAGCCAAGAGACUGAAUAAACUCCUGAGAGAGCCAGGGAAUGGAAAGUUGCAGGGGCUGUCCACUAACAGGCAAAUAUAAAGGAGAACUAGUACCAAGGGACAUGCUCUGAACCUGGGGUGGGAGCCAGCACGCCAACAUCAAGGAGGAUUCUUUACCACUGAGCCACCAAGGAAACCCCAUGGUUACGGAUGCACGAACGAAAUUUGAUGACUCCAAAGGAGGACCAAGUAUGCUCCUCAGACACUAGCAAAACAGUAGCACUAGAGAGGAGAGAGAACCUGAAAAUUGGGGCUUCAUUGUGAGAAUUAAAUUAUUCUUAUUUUAUUGUUUUCAUGUAUGUGUGAUGUCAUCAUCUCUGCCGAGUCAAGACCUCUUCAGGUCUCAAUCCACUCUACAACUACACACACUUGCCGAAACAAUGUUUGCACCUCUGAGAAUCUGAAUGAAGAACAUGCUGAAGAAUGAGUGAGAUGUCACUUUAAGCUGCACUGGGUCUGCCUUGCUACACUUGAGCUUUCUCCAGUUGCAGGAGCGGGGGCUACUCUUUGCUGUGGUGCUCAGGCUUCUCAUUUCGGUGGCUUCUCUUGUCAUGGAACAUAGGCUCUAGGUGCCCGGGGCCUCAGUAGCUGCAGCCUCCGAGGCUUGUGGAACCUUCUGGGGCCAGGGAUCAAAUCCAUGUCCCCUGCAUUGGCAGGAGGAUUCUUAUCCACUGUAUCACCAAAGAAGUCCUUUACUGAGGUAUGCUUCACAUAUACCCACUCUAGUGUUCUUGCCUUGAGAAUCCCAGGGAUGGUGGAGCCUGGUGGGCUGCCGUCUUUGGGGUGGCACAGAGUCAGACACGACUGAAGCAACUUAGCAGCAGCAGCAGCAGUGGCAGCUUCACAUAUUAAAAGCUAAACAUAUUUAAUGUGCACAACUUGAUGAGUUUAGAGACAAGCAUAUACUUGUGAAACCAUCAUCAUAAUCUAAUUCAUAAACCUAUCCAUUGCCUCUGAAAGUUUUCUCCUGCCCUCUUAUUUAUUUAUUUUUAGUAAUGUUAUUAGUGAUAAGAACACUUAACAUAAGACCUAUCCUUGUGGCAAGCUUUUAUGCAUACAAUACAGUACUGUUAACUAUAUUGUGAAUCAUUUGUAAAAUAAUCAUCCCUUUAAAAUGGCUUUUGUAAAAACUCAGAUUUUCACUAUUAAGUCCUCAAUUAGAAGUGCUCCUGUGAUUCAACAGGUCUUUAAACAGCUCCAUGUUUUUGUUCCACAAUCCUAAACACGACUCAAUUAAAGAGGUAGUUCAAUCUGAUUAGUAUCAACAGUUGCUUCUUUCUUCCUAAAUAGAUUCCUCAUUGCCCUCAUUCUACGAAGGGGAGGCUUCUGAUCUCCCUGAUGGUUUUCAUUAACACAUCAACAAUUAUUUUAUGUUGGUGACAUAUUUUGUGGUGAUAGCCCAUCAAUCGAUUAAGGACACAUUGCAAUGUAACAUAGUCUGAUAAAUAAUCAGGACAAGAUUAAUGGUUAUAUGUAAUGAGAACCACCUGUCUGUUACAGUGCCUUGGUUGCUGGCUUCAUUUCAUUUCAGAUUCCAAUAAAUUGUAAAUGCCUUGAAGCAUACUCAAGCAAGGUGGAGUAAACGUAGUUCUCUCAGAGUAACAGUCGCCUCUUUGGGACCACAACCAAUAUUCACAUGGUCUACAGUUGGAAGAGAAAAAGUAUAGUCAACUGACAGGCUGUUUUGUUGGCUUGACGACUUGACCCUGUCCUUUUAUGUCCCCCUGGUUUCCAUGAAUGGACAAGUGUUUCCUUAGUAUGCAGGCUCCCUUGUAUGGAGUUCAGACAGCUAAAUUCCCAGUCUUACAGAUCAUAUUUUAUACUCCUCCCCAAAUCAUGAUGAGUAAGCUGCUAUAAAAAUCACCUAAUUGUCUAAAGUGAAAUAGACAAUUCCUGAUU
ensembl:lncRNA